GAAGCCGGCGAGGUGGUCGCCGGUUCCAUCACGGAACGGGAGGAAAGUCCGGACUGCGCAGGGCAGGAUGGCUGCUAACGGCAGCCGGGGGUGACCCCAGGGAAAGUGCCACAGAGAGAAGACCGGCCCCCCCGUUGGGGGACCAAGGGUGAAAGGGUGCGGCAAGAGCGCACCAGUGCCGGGGGUAACUCCGGCAGCUCGGUAAACCCCAUCCGCAGCAAGACCAAAUAGGACGGCGUUCGAGGGUGGCCCGCCCGAGCCGUCGGGUUGGUUGCUGGAGCCCGCGGGCGACCGCGGGCCUAGAGGAAUGACCACCCCCCGCCCCACCGGGGUAACCCCGGGGCGGGGACAGAAUCCGGCUUACCAGCCGACUUCGACC
rnacentral:RNase_P_RNA from 8 species